GAUGAAGAACGCAGCGAAAUGCGAUACGUAAUGUGAAUUGCAGAAUUCAGUGAAUCAUCGAAUCUUUGAACGCAUAUUGCGCUCUCUGGUAUUCCGGAGAGCAUGCUUGUUUGAGUAUCAGUAAACACCUCAACUUCCAUAUCUUUUUUGAAAUGGGAGUUGGACUAGAGUGAUCCCAACGCUUUUCCUCACCGAAAAGUGGCGGGUUACUUGAAAUGCAGGUGCAGCUGGACUUUUCUCUGAGCUAUAAGCAUAUCUAUUUAGUCUGCCUAAAAAACAGAUUAUUACCUUUGCUGCAGCUAACAUAAAGGAGAUCAGUUCUUGUGCUGACUGAUGCAGGAUUCACAAAGACAGGCUUCGGCCGACUUUGUAAACUCGAUCUCAAAUCAAGUAAGACUACCCGCUGAACUUAAGCAUAUCAAUAAGCGGAGGA
rnacentral:misc_RNA from 1 species